rnacentral:rRNA from 1 species
ACAGCUGGCGGCGUGCCUAAUACAUGCAAGUCGAGUGAAUGGAUUGAGAGCUUGCUCUCAAGAAGUUAGCGGCGGACGGGUGAGUAACACGUGGGUAACCUGCCCAUAAGACUGGGAUAACUCCGGGAAACCGGGGCUAAUACCGGAUAAUAUUUUGAACUGCAUGGUUCGAAAUUGAAAGGCGGCUUCGGCUGUCACUUAUGGAUGGACCCGCGUCGCAUUAGCUAGUUGGUGAGGUAAUGGCUCACCAAGGCAACGAUGCGUAGCCGACCUGAGAGGGUGAUCGGCCACACUGGGACUGAGACACGGCCCAGACUCCUACGGGAGGCAGCAGUAGGGAAUCUUCCGCAAUGGACGAAAGUCUGACGGAGCAACGCCGCGUGAGUGAUGAAGGCUUUCGGGUCGUAAAACUCUGUUGUUAGGGAAGAACAAGUGCUAGUUGAAUAAGCUGGCACCUUGAUGGUACCUAACCAGAAAGCCACGGCUAACUACGUGCCAGCAGCCGCGGUAAUACGUAGGUGGCAAGCGUUAUCCGGAAUUAUUGGGCGUAAAGCGCGCGCAGGUGGUUUCUUAAGUCUGAUGUGAAAGCCCACGGCUCAACCGUGGAGGGUCAUUGGAAACUGGGAGACUUGAGUGCAGAAGAGGAAAGUGGAAUUCCAUGUGUAGCGGUGAAAUGCGUAGAGAUAUGGAGGAACACCAGUGGCGAAGGCGACUUUUCUGGUCUGUAACUGACACUGAGGCGCGAAAGCGUGGGGGAGCAAACAGGAUUAGAUACCCUGGUAGUCCACGCCGUAAACGAUGAGUGCUAAGUG